rnacentral:rRNA from 1 species
GACGAACGCUGGCGGCGUGCUUAACACAUGCAAGUCGAACGGUGAUCCCCAGCUUGCUGGGGUGAUCAGUGGCGAACGGGUGAGUAACACGUGAGCAACCUGCCCCCGACUCUGGGAUAGCCUCGGGAAACCGGGAUUAAUACCGGAUAUGACACUUCCAGGCAUCUGGUGGUGUGGUAAAGUUUUUCGGUUGGGGAGUGGGCUCGCGGCCUAUCAGCUUGUUGGUGGGGUAAUGGCCCACCAAGGCGACGACGGGUAGCCGGCCUGAGAGGGUGACCGGCCACACUGGGACUGAGACACGGCCCAGACUCCUACGGGAGGCAGCAGGUGGGGAAUAUUGCGCAAUGGGCGAAAGCCUGACGCAGCGACGCCGCGUGAGGG